CUUCUUCUUCUUUCACAGGACAGGGGAUCCUUUGAUCCCCUUGUUCCCAAGGUAGGGGAGGUCUCCUCCCAACCUAUGACCUCCCAAGGUUAGAGGGUAAUCUCAAGCGAUGACCAGCGACCCAAAUCCGAUGAUCGGCGAUGACCAAAGAGGAUGAAAAAAUUCAAAACAACACGAAAAAAAAUAGGGGAAACAAUCCGAGCCCCUUAUUUGGCCAAAAUCCGAUGAUUGUCGAUCAAAGUCCCAGCACCUAUAGACUCUGGAAGAUGAGGAGAAGGAUUGAAAAAAGUUUUUACCCUUUUUUUCGAUGAUCAACGGUCUUGAUUUUGGUGAACUCGAUGAAAAUUUCUCAAGAGAAGAAGGGGAUAGAAGGCAGUCGGAGCUCAUGGGGUUUGAAGGGGAGGGUUGGCCUCUCUUUAAAGAGGACCAGAGGAGGAGUUUGGCUCAGAUUAAAUCUACUCAUUGAGGUUGGAAGAAGACUCUCAACGGGAGUCUUCUUCCUCCCGUCAAUCCUCUGUUUCUUUUUUUUUUUUUUGUAUUAAGCUAGGUUUAAGGCUCAAUGGGCCGGGCCAUGACAGUUGACCACCAUGCAUGAGGAAGAGGAGCAUCGAGAGAAGAACAUCAUUGACCGUCAUGCUUAGGAGGAAAGCAUCAUUGACCAAGCCUUGCUUGCAGCCUAGAAAGGGGGUAGCGGCUGCACAACGACUAGAUCUAUCCGGUAUCUAAGGGAGGAGAGGAACGCCGAGAAGGGUCGUGACAGAUGACGAACCCGCGACUUAUGAAGAUCAGCAACAACCUAAGCAAAGUACGCAGAGAGAGAAAGAAAGCUAGCUUGGCCUGAUCCGCUACUAAGAAUGGUCAGUGAAGUGAAAGAAAGAGAAGAUGGGGGAGUAGCUUUGUACUCCAUCGGAAAAUGGACCCACUGUCAAAAAGGUCCGGCGAAGAAGGAUGAUGCACAUUGUCAAGGCACCAAAAAUAAAUCCAAUUCUAACUUACUAUGUAGCUAGGGUGAAUCGGGAUC
rnacentral:lncRNA from 1 species